GCGACGCGCCGGCACCCCAGAGAGGCCGGGUUGGUGCAGCCGCUUGAGCCGCGGGGAGCUGGCAACUGCCCGCCGCCGCAGCCUGUCGCUCGCCCGAGGCGCCUGCUGAGCUCUUCCCCGGUCCCUGUCGGGCUGGCCUCGAGCGCCGCUCCGCUGGUAACGUAGCCCGGCGCCGAAGUUUCCUUUUUGCAAAGCGCGGCGGGUGAGCGGCAGCCGCCCUGCCAGGAAAGAGCGACCAGCGCCGACAGCGCGAGUGCAGCCGCGGAGCGGCGGGGCCACUCAGGCAGUAGGUGGGGCACGGCCCCCAGGGAGCCCGGGCUGCUGGGCCCGACCCGCUGGCCUUCGCCCUCCUGCGCGCGCCCUCUCUUGCUGCGGCUCCCUCCCGACCUGGUCGCUGACUUUGCCCCAGGCUCCGCACCCUUUGAAUAGUCCUCUCAGCCUCCGGGCUCUUUGUGCCUAGGUUCCUUUGAGGCGUUGACGUUUCGUUGCCACAGUUAUGCCAACAGUUAAUUCUUCCAGGCAGCUUCCCACGGGCUGAACAGGACCUUGAACCUGUUUUCCGGCUACACUCCCUAGAUGACUGCAUCCAGUCUCAUGGGCUCUCCAUGUCAAUGUCAGUGAGCUCCGAAUGCCUACGUCCACCCCAGCCCUUCCCCUGAACGUGACACUGGUGCACCUAGCAGCCUACCACGACCCUAGAUCACUGCUAACCGUACCCUCCCAUGGUCCACACAGAAGUCUUCUAUUCUGCAAGUCUCUCUCCAGUUUUCAAAUGAACAUUUCCUGCCUGGAAAACAACAAGCAUUUAUUACGCCAUGGAUCUCAGGCACCGCUGAUUCCUCCUCUCAGGAUGCCUUUUAGACUGAAAUCAAGAAUCAGUGGGGGCUGCAGUUAUCUGAAGACUCCUCUGGGAGAAGAUCCAAGCUUUGUGCCCACUGCAAUGGUUGCUGGCAGGACUCCACUCUUCACAGGCAGUUAGACUGAGACUCAGCUCCUCGCUGGCUUUUGGCUGAAGCCUGUGUUUCUUGCCCUGUGUCCAUGAGUCAGCUCGCCAUAUGGUAGUUGGCUUCCAUCAGUGUGGGCAAAUGAGAGGAAAAGAGGGUAAUAAGACAGGAAUGAAGCCAUAUGCAGUGGUGCACACCUGUAAUCCCAGUGGAUGUGGAGGCUGAGACAGGAGGAUCAUGAGUUCAAAGCCAGCCUCAGCAACUUAGUGAGUUGCUAAGCAACUCAGUGAGACCCUGUCUCUAAAUAAAAUACAAAAUAGGACUGGGGAUGUGGCUCAGUGACCGAGUGCCCCUGAGUUCAAUCCCCGGUACCAAAACAGAUUAGGAAUGAGUCUUCUAAUUGCCUAAUCUUAGAAGUGACAUCCAAAUCAAAUCAAGGGAAGGAGGGACACACAAGGGCAUGAGAACAAAAAAUGAGGGCAGUUGGGAGCUACCUUCAAAGCUACCUACACACAGUGUUCAUCUACCAGCAGCAUCAGAAGAAUGAAGCCAAUGUGACUUGUGCCAUGACUGGGCUCUUUAUCCCUGGACUGGAGGUGCUGGACUGCCCAAAACCUGAGGGAAGGAAAAGUGACCUGACGGAAUAGAAGAGGAAUGGACACCAGGUGACCCUCGCCACCCAGCAGCCACUGGUGGGGUGCUGCUUCUGCUGCUUGUUAAAAUGAUCAGCUAGAAGGCCAUCAGACUGGAGUGGCUAAUGCCCUGGGUUGCUACCCAAGCAAGCCAAAGCCCACCUCAGGUGCGUUUCUCAUAAUCGACAAAUGUAGAGAGAAAUGAACAACUUUAACCAAUUACAAACGGCCACCCAACCUCUACUUACUUAAGUAGGACCUUUCCAACUGAGUAGUCCAAAUAAGACACCUACAUAACUCACCUUCUAUUUUCUCUGUUGUUUCCUCAUUCACUUUAUAAAAGGCUUUUCUUUGAGCCCCUUUAGCAGUGCCCCCAAACCCAAAGCAGUUUACGUUCUGCUUGAUUCAUGAAAUGAUGUUUGCAUAAAUAAACUUUUAAAAUUUCUCAUGUGCUUCAGUCACCCUAACGACCCCCGCCCAGUCCUGGGGAUUGAACCCAGGAGCCCUCUACCACUGAGCUACAUCCCAGCCCUCUUUUUAAAUUUUUUGAGACAAGAUCUCACUAAAUUGCUAAGGCUGGCCUCAAACUUGCAAUCCUCCUGCCUCAGGAUCUCGAGUCACUGAGAUUACAAGCAUGCACCCUCACUCCCAGCUUCAAUUUAAUUUUUAACCCCUUUGGUAAACAGCUUGGAGGCCUUCUGGUUUUCCAGACAGUGUCUAUCCCCUUUCCUAAACUCAGCAGAGAGUUCAAGAGAGUUCUAUGUAGUUACAGCAAGAAUCAGAAAUAAGGGCUGGGGAUGUGGCUCAAGCGGUAGCGCGCUCGCCUGGCAUGCGUGCGGCCGGGGUUCGAUCCUCAGCACCACAUACAAACAAACAUGUUGUGUCUGCCAAAAACUAAAAAAAAAUUAAAAAAAAUAAAAACAAGAGGAGAGAUACACAGACCCACAGGACUUUAACCUUAUCUUAAAUUAAAAAAAAAAGAAUCAGAAAUAAAACUGGCUUGAGAAAGUAAAGCAUCGUUUGUUCUUCCUGUGGCUCCUCCUCCUCCUGUGCCGCAGGAAUGUCCACUGCCACAGCUGCCAGAGAAAGGGUCUUCCAGGUGGGCAUUCUCUAGGCCUUCACCAGGUGCCCCAAUGACUGCUUCUUUCUUGGUUCUCUUCCCUCUUCUCUGUUCCCUCUCCAUCUUGAAGUCUUCUUAUUACCCACUUUUUCCUAGGAUUUACCCUACUUCCCUAAAUAAAUCAUGAAUAGAAGGCCACUUCCUCAACCUGGUGAAGAACAAGUAUGAAAAAGCCAUAGUAUCAUCCUUAAUGUUAAAGACCAAGUGCUUUCCUCUAAGAGCCAAAGCAGGACAAGGACAUCAUUCUCACCCCCGCUCCUAGUCAAUAUUGUCCUGGAGAUUCUGCCAGAGCCAUCACACAAAGCAAUGAAAUGUGAAAAAGAAAACCAAAGUCUCUUUACUCACGGAUGACAUCAUCAUCUAAGUAUAAAAGUCUGAUUGAAGCUACAAAAAAAAAAAAAAAUACUACUAGAACUAAUAAGCAAGUUUAGCAAGGUUGUAGGGUCCAAGGUUAAUAUGCAAA